rnacentral:rRNA from 1 species
AAUAUUGGGACAUAUAAAAAAAGACAACUCUGUUCUGCAGAGUAGCUGUUGACAUUAUAGUUGCGCAGGCACUUUGUUGACUCUAGAGAACCUCGGGCCAAUUGCACAUCCCAGUGGCGGCGACUUUGCAUGCAGAUGUCAUCCAUAUCAACUUUCGAUGCCAGUUUCUGCACCUACCAUGGUGACCACGGGUAAUGGGGAAUCAGUGUUCCAUUCCGUACAGGAACCCUGAGAAACGGCUACCACAUGCAACGAAGGCAACAGACGCGCAAAUGACCCACCCAAGGUAGUGA